UAAAUACUCCCUCCGUCCGAAAAUACUUGUCAUCAAAAUAGACAAAAAGGGAUGUAUCUAGAACUAAAAUACAUCUAGAUACAUCCCUUUUUAUUCAUUUUGAUGACAACUAUUUCCGGACGGAGGGAGUAUAAG
rnacentral:pre_miRNA from 1 species